rnacentral:sRNA from 1 species
GGAGAGUAACGUUCCCAACAGAAACUAACAGUGCCAGCCUUGCCGGGCACUUAGGAGAAUUAGAUGAAAUAACGUGUAGAAGGCACUUACCCUGGGUCAGGCGCACAGUAGGUACUUCGUUCAUGACACCCACUAAUUCUGAUACCCUUCCCCAGCCUCCCUGGACCUCGGCUUCUUCAAAACAUAAAAAUCAUACCACCUGCUUUACUCAUUCCGCAAAUAUUUACUGAGCCAAGUACUAUGAACACAAAAAUGUAUUCACCAGACACAGUUCCUGGCCUCUCGGAGCCUGCAGUUUGAGAUCGUUCAUUAUUCAUCCUUUCAACAGACGCUGUUGGCAUUGCUGAUCUUGGUGCUGUACUUGAGCACAGGGAUAUCGGGAAGCAGUUGGGAGGUGUCAGAAAGGAUCAGAGAAUGUAACUACUACCAGAAUCUUGUAGUUUCCCAGGGGCUUGAAUAUCAGACCAACGAGCCCUCAGAAGAACCGAUAAAGACCAUCAGGAACUGGCUGAAGGAGAACUUGCAUGUCUUCUUGGAGAAGUUAGAGGAAGAGGUGCAAGAGCUGGAGCAGCUAGUGCGGGACCUGGAACUGUGGCUGGAUGCUCUUCUGGGAGAGCCGCACCAGGAGGAGCACUGCUCCACACAUAAAAGUCACUUGUGAGGGGUGGGCCUGGGGCCUGGGGAGAGCACAAAGGUGGGGAGGGGUUGCCAGGGAUUUCUCUAAGCAGGGCAGAGCUCUGACUCUUGAAGUUCCAGUCAGGCAAGCAAAUAAAGUAGUUGGGAAAUGAA